rnacentral:rRNA from 1 species
UACGUAGGGUGCGAGCGUUGUCCGGAAUUAUUGGGCGUAAAGAGCUCGUAGGUGGCGGGUCACGUCGGGUGUGAAAGCCCGGGGCUUAACUCCGGGUCUGCAUUCGAUACGGGUCUGCUGGGGUCCGGCAGGGGAGACUGGAAUUCCCGGUGUAGCGGGUGAAAUGCGCAGAUAUCGGGAAGAACACCCGUGGCGGAAGGCGGCUCUCUGGGACGGUACUGACG